rnacentral:rRNA from 1 species
CGUUUACGGCGUGGACUACCAGGGUAUCUAAUCCUGUUUGCUCCCCACGCUUUCGCAUCUGAGUGUCAGUAUCUGUCCAGGCUGCCUCCUUCGCCACCGGUAUUCCUUCAGAUCUCUACGCAUUUCACCGCUACACCUGAAAUUCUACCCCCCUCUACAGUACUCUAGUCUGUCAUUUUCUAAUGCAAUUCCGAAGAAGGAGCCCGGGCUUUCACAUCUGACUUAACAAACCACCUGCAUGCGCUUUACGCCCAGUAAUUCCGAUUAACGCUCGCACCCUCCGUAUUACCGCGGCUGCUGUUUCGGAGUUAGCCGGUGCUUCUUCUGCAGCUAACCCCCCAAUGUUUUAGAAGGAAGGGAAAAAAACUCCCC